CGCAUCUUGCGCUCCCGGGUUAUUCCUGGGAGCAUGCUUGUUUGAGUAACAGAAAAGCUCAACCCCGCUUUCUUAAUUGAAAGUAGUCUUUUGGGUUAGGAUCGUGACAGCCUGUCGCUUCUAAUUGCGAAACAACUCUGUCGAAAGUAAAGCGGCUGAACUUUGUAUCGUGCGCUAGACACUAUUGUUAUAACAUCCUUAACCGGUCUCAAUAGAAUAGCAUGAUCAAACUCAAGUAAGCCUUGAAUUGCCAUAGUCUUUUUCAAUAAAGAUUAUUUUUUUUAAGCUUGUUCUCAAAUCAAGUAGGACUACCCGCUGAACUUAA
rnacentral:misc_RNA from 1 species